rnacentral:misc_RNA from 1 species
UAUAUACCCAUCAUUGUUCUUGUCAAAUGUUGCAAAAACACCACUCAACUCAACUUUUGAGCUCUUCUUUUCAACAAAGAUUGAAUCUUUAUUGACAAAAGGGGUUGUUGGGGUUAGGGUUUGAGGUUUAACAGAGAGGGAAAAGAUCCAAGAUUGAAACUUUUUUGUGGGAAAAUUGAAAAGGGUUGUAAUUAAACCAAGAAUGAAGAGAAAUGCUAAGAAAAGAAGGCUAAUUGUUAACAUUUUCUUGAUUCUUG